GUGGUCUAGUGGUUAGGAUACCCGCCUCUCAUCAACCGAGAGAUAUUCCCAGAACGCGGGUGGCCGGGGUUCGAUGUACGUGUGCCCGCCG
rnacentral:tRNA from 1 species